rnacentral:rRNA from 1 species
UACGUAGGGGGCAAGCGUUGUCCGGAAUUAUUGGGCGUAAAGAGCUCGUAGGCGGUUUGUUGCGUCGGCUGUGAAAUCCCGAGGCUCAACCUCGGGUCUGCAGUCGAUACGAGCAAACUAGAGUGUUGCAGGGGAGACUGGAAUUCCUGGUGUAGCGGUGAAAUGCGCAGAUAUCGUAAGGAAGGCCGGUGGCGAAAGCGAGCCUCUGGACAGUUACUGACGCUGAUGCACGAAGGCCAGGGGAGCAAACGGG